UAGGGAAUUUUCGUCAAUGGGGGGAACCCUGAACGAGCAAUGCCGCGUGUGUGAAGAAGGUCUUCGGAUCGUAAAGCACUGUUGUAAGUGAAGAAUGCCAUAUAGAGGAAAUGCUAUGUGGGUGACGGUAGCUUACCAGAAAGCCACGGCUAACUACGUGCCAGCAGCCGCGGUAAUACGUAGGUGGCAAGCGUUAUCCGGAAUCAUUGGGCGUAAAGGGUGCGUAGGUGGCACGAUAAGUCUGAAGUAAAAGGCAACAGCUCAACUGUUGUAUGCUUUGGAAACUGUCGAGCUAGAGUGCAGAAGAGGGCGAUGGAAUUCCAUGUGUAGCGGUAAAACGCGUAGAUAUAUGGAGGAACACCAGUGGCGAAGGCGGUCGCCUGGUCUGUAACUGACACUGAUGCACGAAAGCGUGGGGGAGCAAAUAGGAUUAGAUACC
rnacentral:rRNA from 1 species